rnacentral:rRNA from 1 species
GACGGACGCUGGCGGCGUGCUUAACACAUGCAAGUCGAACGGAAAGGCCCUGCUUUUGUGGGGUGCUCGAGUGGCGAACGGGUGAGUAACACGUGAGUAACCUGCCCUUGACUUUGGGAUAACUUCAGGAAACUGGGGCUAAUACCGGAUAGGAGCUCCUGCUGCAUGGUGGGGGUUGGAAAGUUUCGGCGGUUGGGGAUGGACUCGCGGCUUAUCAGCUUGUUGGUGGGGUAGUGGCUUACCAAGGCUUUGACGGGUAGCCGGCCUGAGAGGGUGGCCGGCCACAUUGGGACUGAGGUACGGCCCAGACUCCUACGGGAGGCAGCAGUGGGGAAUAUUGCGCAAUGGGCGGAAGCCUGAUGCAGCAACGCCGCGUGCGGGAUGACGGCCUUCGGGUUGUAAACCGCUUUCGCCUGUGACGAAGCGUGAGUGACGGUAAUGGGUAAAGAAGCACCGGCUAACUACGUG